rnacentral:rRNA from 1 species
UAGAGUUUGAUCCUGGCUCAGGAUGAACGCUAGCGACAGGCUUAACACAUGCAAGUCGAGGGGCAGCGGUGGUGAAGGCUUGCCUUUACCAGCCGGCGACCGGCGCACGGGUGAGUAACACGUAUGCAACCUGCCUGCCACAGCCGGAUAAUCGGGAGAAAUUCCGUCUAAUACGGCAUAAUGCACCUAUGGGACAUCCUGUUGGUGCCAAAGGUUGAUUCCGGUGGCGGAUGGGCAUGCGUCGCAUUAGUUAGUUGGCGGUGUAACGGACCACCAAGACGACGAUGCGUAGGGGUUCUGAGAGGAAGGUCCCCCACACUGGUACUGAGACACGGACCAGACUCCUACGGGAGGCAGCAGUGAGGAAUAUUGGUCAAUGGGCGGGAGCCUGAACCAGCCAAGUCGCGUGAGGGAUGACGGCCCUAUGGGUUGUAAACCUCUUUUGCCGGGGAGCAAAGUGCCGCACGUGUGCGGUUUGGAGAGUACCCGGAGAAAAAGCAUCGGCUAACUCCGUGCCAGCAGCCGCGGUAAUACGGAGGAUGCGAGCGUUAUCCGGAUUUAUUGGGUUUAAAGGGUGCGUAGGCGGACGCUUAAGUCAGCGGUAAAAUUGCGGGGCUCAACCUCGUCGAGCCGUUGAAACUGGGUGCCUUGAGUGGGCGAGAAGUACGCGGAAUGCGUGGUGUAGCGGUGAAAUGCAUAGAUAUCACGCAGAACUCCGAUUGCGAAGGCAGCGUACCGGCGCCCAACUGACGCUGAAGCACGAAGGCGUGGGUAUCGAACAGGAUUAGAUACCCUGGUAGUCCACGCAGUAAACGAUGAAUGCUAGUUGUCCGGGGCGAUUGAGUUCUGGGUGACACAGCGAAAGCGUUAAGCAUUCCACCUGGGGAGUACGCCGGCAACGGUGAAACUCAAAGGAAUUGACGGGGGCCCGCACAAGCGGAGGAACAUGUGGUUUAAUUCGAUGAUACGCGAGGAACCUUACCCGGGCUCAAACGCAGGAGGGAUGUUUUUGAAAGGAGGCAGCCAGCAAUGGUCUCCUGCGAGGUGCUGCAUGGUUGUCGUCAGCUCGUGCCGUGAGGUGUCGGCUUAAGUGCCAUAACGAGCGCAACCCCUACCUACAGUUGCCAUCGCGUGAUGGCGGGCACUCUGUGGGGACUGCCUGCGCAAGCAGUGAGGAAGGCGGGGAUGACGUCAAAUCAGCACGGCCCUUACGUCCGGGGCGACACACGUGUUACAAUGGCAGGUACAGCGGGAAGCCACCCGGCGACGGGGCGCGGAACCCGAAAACCUGUCUCAGUUCGGAUUGGAGUCUGCAACCCGACUCCAUGAAGCUGGAUUCGCUAGUAAUCGCGCAUCAGCCACGGCGCGGUGAAUACGUUCCCGGGCCUUGCACUCACCGCCCGUCAAG